UACGUAGGGGGCGAGCGUUGUCCGGAUUUAUUGGGCGUAAAGAGCGUGUAGGCGGUUCGGUAAGUCUGUCGUGAAAUCCUGAGGCUCAACCUCGGACGUGCGAUGGAUACUGCCGGGCUAGAGGAUGGUAGAGGCGAGUGGAAUUCCCGGUGUAGUGGUGAAAUGCGUAGAGAUCGGGAGGAACACCUGUGGCGAAGGCGGUCCCCUGGGCCGCACCUGACGCUGAGACGCGAAGGCGUGGGGAGCGAACGGG
rnacentral:rRNA from 1 species